GAUGAGAACACUGCCAUAAUCUGAAGCUGAAAGAAAACGUUUUGAAACUUUGAAAGUCAGUGUUUGAAAAUUUAAGACCUGAAAUAAAGUUUUGCAAGUCUGAAAAUAAGUUUUGAAACCUUGAAAAGUAUUUUGAAAGUCUGAAAAAAAACUUUGAAUCUCUGCAAGCAUAAUUUUGUACUUGAAUUUUUAUUUUUCAUAAGUGCAACAUGCAUAUUACAGAGUUUCAGCCUCACAUUUUCAGAGAUUCAAACCUCUUGUUGCAACCUUACAGAUUUCAAGUCUACAUUUUCAGAGUUUCAAAUAUGGCAUUGUUCUCCCACCACAUUAGUUUGCAAAAAACUUUUGAAACCUUGUAAUAUGAGAUCUGAAAACUGCUGUGUGCAUCUUCGCAAAAAAGUUUUGAAACCUUGAAACCUGAGUUUUGAAAUGUUAAAAUCUUCUCCAAACAUAAUUUUGUAAGGAUUAAAUUUUACUUUGAAAUCUGGGCGGAUGAACUUUUCGGAGUUUCGUCUGCACCGCUGCGAGUUGCGAUGAGGUGAUUUAUGGCAGUGUUCUCUCGCUGCUUUGAUUUGAAACUCUGAAACCCACACUCUGAAAAACUAGAAAAAAAAAAAAAGAAAAAAAAAACGGCUCCGGGGGAGGGACAACGCCUCUUCUAACUAAUCGUUUCCCUUGUAAUGUAUUAGUCCAAUCACAUGUAAGAACGCACAGUUCUUGUCACCGUUGCCGGGCGCUGAGACGAAGCUCAAAUCGUGGCACGGCAACUACCGGUUGUGGCCGCGACUUGUCACGGACUGCCAGAGCCUGCCGAAGCGGAUGGCCCGACUCUCCAUAGCCUAACGUUUAUAACCGUAAACAAAUGUCUUUAGGCACAGAAAUGUUGGUGGAUGUAAGCUGCUUCAACCGUGCUGCGGCAGCUCUUUGGAGCACCAGGGAACGGGGGAAGUGCCUGCAACCUGCACCAGGCAUGAUCCAGAUGCAGCAUCCAGCGACUGGACAAGUUGCCGUCAUCGCCGGCUUCUGUUGCUGAGAAGCAGCAAUUCAUCACAGAGCUCAUUCUGCCUGAGGUUAUGAUUCUGUGGUUGAAAAAAAGGCCACAUUUCAGGUGUGAAGCAGAAUGUGUGCUCCUGGAAAGUGCAUCCAAGCAUAGUGAAAGCCCUGCAGAUAAGACUCCAGUUGAAGACACAGAAACUGAACAGGAAAGGAUUUUACUACGUGACAUCAUGGCUGCAGCUGAUCGGUGCCGAACUUUAAGCUUCAGUGGAAGUUGUGUUUCCAGCUGUCUUAAUGAGCAAAGAUGAACAAAAUGAGACACGAAGGCUUUGCAAAGUUGGGAUGAGGAACUUGAUGAGAGUUCUCCAGCAGAUCUCUGAACUUUUAUUUUUGAAAGAAAGCAGGACUAUGAGAUGUUCUGCGUUGAAAUCAUUGCUAAAAAAACUACAAAGUUUUUGCCAGAUUUGAAGAUGAUUAAGAUUGUUCAAUGAUCAUAAUAAAACACAGCAUCUGGCAAACUGGCCAACUCCAGUGGAGAUUACCUACAGACUCUGUCCUUUUUCUUUCUAAAAAUGUUAUUAAAGACAGCACUCUUUCUACAUGCUGUAUCAUCUGUCUUUUAUUUGUCCAGAAUUACCAUAAAGGAGGCCACAGUCAACAAAUCAACUUUUAGUUAAACUGCAACA